rnacentral:lncRNA from 1 species
AUAAGUUUGGAGGAUUUGUGUAUCUCUCGAGUGAUGUAAGGAUAAAUUUGACCAUUAUGGGUCGGGAACAAACCAUUCAUAAGCUUGAUAUGUUGGCAUGAGUUCACACACACACGUUGAGUAUUGCAUUUGAUGAGUAAAGGUUAAUUUUAUUCUUGCAAUAUUGAUAUUGUUCUAUUGUAUUGCUAAGUUCCAAUCCUGAGACACG